AUGUCUCUUGCGCCGCCGCUGAGCAGCCGGGGGCGGCGGACCUCAACGCCUCCGCCGUUUCUUACAGCUCCGCGUGGCUUCCGGCCAGAGCGACCUGGUACGGAGCGCCCAACGGCGCCGGGCCCGACGACAACGGUACGUGCCUGCCCGUGUGGAUGCAUGCUUGAUGCAGCGAUGCUCUCUGUUCUAAUGUCGUUGCUCAAUUUGGUUCAUCCGUGUGGUGUACAUGCAGGCGGCGCGUGCGGCUUCAAGCACGUGAACCAGUACCCCUUCUCCUCCAUGACCUCCUGCGGCAACCAGCCCCUGUUCAAGGACGGCAAGGGCUGCGGCUCCUGCUACCAGAUACGGUGCAGCGGCGACAAAUCCUGCUCCGGCAAAAUCGAGACGGUGAUGAUCACGGACAUGAACUACUACCCGGUGGCGCAGUACCACUUCGACCUGAGCGGCACGGCCUUCGGCGCGCUGGCCAAGUCGGGGCUCAACGAGAAGCUCCGCCACUCGGGCAUCAUCGACAUCCAGUUCCGGAGGGUGCCCUGCAACUUCCCGGGCCUCAAGAUCAACUUCCACGUGGUGGACGGCUCCAACGCGGUGUACCUGGCGGUGCUGAUCGAGUACGAGGACAUGGACGGCGACGUGAUCCAGGUGGACAUGAAGGAGGCCAACUCCGGGUCGUGGACGCCGAUGCGCGAGUCCUGGGGCUCCAUCUGGCGGAUGGACUCCAACCACCGCCUCCAGGGGCCCUUCUCCAUGCGCAUCACCAGCGACUCCGGCAAGAAGCUGGUGGCCAACAAUGUCAUCCCGGCCAACUGGAGGCCCAACACCGACUACCGCUCCUUCGUCCAGUUCAGCUGA
rnacentral:rRNA from 1 species